UACGGGGGGGGCAAGCGUUGUCCGGAAUCAUUGGGCGUAAAGCGCGUGUAGGCGGUCCGGUAAGUCCGCUGUGAAAGUCGGGGGCUCAACCCUCGGAUGCCGGUGGAUACUGUCGGGCUUGAGUACGGAAGAGGCGAGUGGAAUUCCUGGUGUAGCGGUGAAAUGCGCAGAUAUCAGGAGGAACACCAAUUGCGAAGGCAGCUCGCUGGGACGUUACUGACGCUGAGACGCGAAAGCGUGGGGAGCAAACAGG
rnacentral:rRNA from 1 species